UACGUAGGGGGCGAGCGUUGUCCGGAAUCAUUGGGCGUAAAGAGCUCGUAGGCGGCUUGUUGCGUCGGCUGUGAAAACCCAUGGCUUAACCGUGGGCUUGCAGCCGAUACGGGCAGGCUAGAGUUCGGUAGGGGAGACUGGAAUUCCUGGUGUAGCGGUGAAAUGCGCAGAUAUCAGGAGGAACACCGGUGGCGAAGGCGGGUCUCUGGGCCGAUACUGACGCUGAGGAGCGAAAGCGUGGGGAGCGAACAGG
rnacentral:rRNA from 1 species